rnacentral:rRNA from 1 species
CCUACGGGCGGCAGCAGUAGGGAAUAUUGCUCAAUGGGGGAAACCCUGAAGCAGCAACGCCGCGUGGAGGAUGAAGGUUUUCGGAUUGUAAACUCCUUUUGUUAGAGAAGAUAAUGACGGUACCUGAUGAAUAAGCUCCGGCUAACUACGUGCCAGCAGCCGCGGUAAUACGUAGGGAGCAAGCGUUAUCCGGAUUUACUGGGUGUAAAGGGCGCGUAGGCGGGAUGGCAAGUCAGAUGUGAAAUCCAGGGGCUCAACCCCUGAACUGCAUUUGAAACUGUCGUUCUUGAGUACUGGAGAGGUUGACGGAAUUCCUAGUGUAGCGGUGAAAUGCGUAGAUAUUAGGAGGAACACCAGUGGCGAAGGCGGUCAACUGGACAGCAACUGACGCUGAGGCGCGAAAGCGUGGGGAGCAAACAGGAUUAGAUACCCUAGUAGUC